AUGGGGGCAGACCAUCAAGGGACAGCCUGAGAAGGAUGAUGUUCAGCCGUGGAUGGAGUUGAGAGGAGUGACUGUGGACUUACCACAGAGUUACAAAUCUUCAGCCAGAAGAAUGUUAGCUGCUGACGGGAGGAUUUUGCCUGGGAGCGCUGGGUGGCUGCAGUCGUGCAGACAGAAUCCUGUCGUACCAUCUAGUGGCCUGCUGGGAUAGCGCACCCUGUGGAAAUUGCCCUUCCUCUGAAUGAAGCAGUUAUUGUUGAUACGUUUAUUUUUUAAUUAUUGGAAUUAAAAUUGUGAAUUAUUUAAUUGUUAAAAUUAAACCUGUGAAACUUUUAAUUAUUAAAAUUACUUGUGAAAC